GGCUUAACACAUGCAAGUCGAGGGGUAGCAGGGUAGCAAUACCGCUGACGACCGGCGCACGGGUGAGUAACACGUAUCCAACCUUCCCAUAACUCGGGGAUAGCCUUUCGAAAGGAAGAUUAAUACCCGAUAGUACUUUAUUAAGGCAUCUUAAGAAAGUUAAAGAUUUAUUGGUUAUGGAUGGGGAUGCGUUCCAUUAGAUAGUUGGUGAGGUAACGGCUCACCAAGUCUUCGAUGGAUAGGGGUUCUGAGAGGAAGGUCCCCCACAUUGGUACUGAGACACGGACCAAACUCCUACGGGAGGCAGCAGUGAGGAAUAUUGGUCAAUGGGCGAGAGCCUGAACCAGCCAAGUAGCGUGAAGGAUGACGG
rnacentral:rRNA from 1 species